rfam:Hordeum vulgare subsp. vulgare, WGS project CAJW01000000 data, contig: morex_contig_7838
AUAGUACUCCCUCCAUCCUAAAAUUCUUGUCUUACAUUUAUCUAUAUAUGAAUGUAUCUAGUCACAUUUUAAUAUUAAGACACGUUCAUUUUUAAACAAACUUAAGACAAAUUUUUUGAGAUGGAGGGAGUAUAUG